rnacentral:lncRNA from 1 species
CACUAGAUGGGAAAGUGAGCAGCUACAGGGCCACUCCUCCAUCACCUCUGAGCCUUGCCCUCUUCGUCUGGCUCUAUCUCAAUGUCAACACAUGACAAGGAUCAACUAUGCAAAUGUUAAGGGGAAAAGAGGUCCUGCCUUCAGCCUCUGCCUGCACAACCCUGAAAAAAAUGAAUAGCUGACAGCGAGUGAAAGAAAGUUCUUAUGUGGAAAACAUCAGUUCCUAAGAUCAACCCAUCCCUGGAGGCACUAGAGGCCAGGCUGGACAGGGCCAAGGACAACCUG